rnacentral:rRNA from 1 species
AGAUGGAAGAAAUGGGCUACAUUUUCUUUAUAGAAUAGACGGAAUGUUAAAUGAAAUAUACAUGAAGGAGGAUUUAGUAGUAAAAAGAAAAAAGAGAGUUCUUUUAAAAUUAUGGCAAUAGGACAAGUACACACCGCCCGUCACCCUCAUUUAUUAAAAUAAAAAUAUAUAAAUUAAUAAUAAUUAAGAAGAGGAAAGUCGUAACAUGGUAAGUCUACCGGAAGGUGGCCUUGGAAUCAGAAUAUAGCUUAAUAAAAGCCUUUUGUUUACACCAAAAAAAUAUCCUUUAGAUUAUUCUGAUACUAUCAAACUAGCCUAUACCUUAUUUUACUCUUCCUAUCUUAAUAAAUCAUUUGAAUAUAUUAGUAUGAGUGACAAAAAAUAUGUUAAGCGCAAUAAAUUUAGUACUGUAAAGGAAAGAUGAAAUAGAAAUUAAAAAAAUAUAAAAGUAUAAUAAAGCAAAGAUUAGCACCUAUACCUUUUGCAUAAUGGUCUAGCAAGUUUAACCUAACAAAAAUACCUAAAGCUGGAACCCCCGAAACCAAACGAGCUACCUUAAGGCAAAUUAAAUAUCUAUCUCUGUGGCAAAAGAGAAAGAAAGACUCACAGGUAGAGGCGAAAAACCAAACGAGUUUGGAGAUAGCUGGUUGCUUGGGAAUGAAUUAAGUUCAACUAAAAGUAAUAUUACCAAUAAGGACUCAUAAAGCUUUUAAUAUAAUAAACUAGGGUACAGCCUAUUUUAUAAAGGGAACAGCCUAUAAAAAUAAAUAAAGAUACAAAAUUAUAAUAAAGUAGGCCUAAAGCAGCCACCAGAAAAUAGCGUCAUAGCUUUAUCAUAUAAUUAAACUAUUUUAAUAUAUAAUCUAAAUUUAUUUAAAUAAUCAAGCCCAAUCUAUUAAUAGAUGAACUACUACUAGAAUAAGUAAUAAGGAUUACCUCAUAAUACAUGUGUAAAUCAAAACGAACUAUCACUGAUAAUUAACGAAAAUAUUUGAUUUAACUAGAACUUAAUUUUUUUAAAUCGUUUACCCAACACAGGAGUAUAAAAGAAAGACUUAAAACUUAAGAAGGAACUCGGCAAGCCCAGGCUUCGCCUGUUUACCAAAAACAUCGCCUUUUGAUAAAUAAAUAUAAAAGGUCCUGCCUGCCCAGUGAUAAUUAUUCAACGGCCGCGGUAUUAUGACCGUGCAAAGGUAGCAUAAUCACUUGUCUUCUAAAUUAAGACCAGCAUGAAUGGCAAGACGAAAGCCUAACUGUCUCCUUAAGUUAGUCAAUGAAAUUGAUCUUCUCGUGCAGAAGCGAGAAUAUAUAUAUAAGACGAGAAGACCCUGUGGAGUUUUAAAAUAAUAUUAUAUAAAUACUUUAUAAUAAUAUGGUUUUUAGGUUGGGGCGACCAUGAGGUAAAAAAAACCCCUCAAGAUAAUAAUUAGAAGGACACUUCAAAUAAAAAGUAAUACUUAUGCAUGACCCAAAAAUGAUCAACGAACCAAGUUACCCCAGGGAUAACAGCGCAAUCCAUUUCUAAAGCUCAUAUUAACAAAUGGGUUUACGACCUCGAUGUUGGAUCAGGACACCCAAAUGGUGCAACAGCUAUUAAAGGUUCGUUGUCAACG